rnacentral:rRNA from 1 species
GACGAACGCUGGCGGCGUGCUUAACACAUGCAAGUCGAACGGAAAGGCCCUGCUUGCAGGGUACUCGAGUGGCGAACGGGUGAGUAACACGUGGGUGAUCUGCCCUGCACUUCGGGAUAAGCCUGGGAAACUGGGUCUAAUACCGGAUAGGAGCCAUUUUUAGUGUGAUGGUUGGAAAGUUGUUUCGGUGUAGGAUGAGCUCGCGGCCUAUCAGCUUGUUGGUGGGGUAAUGGCCUACCAAGGCGGCGACGGGUAGCCGGCCUGAGAGGGUGGACGGCCACAUUGGGACUGAGAUACGGCCCAGACUCCUACGGGAGGCAGCAGUGGGGAAUAUUGCACAAUGGGCGCAAGCCUGAUGCAGCGACGCCGCGUGGGGGAUGACGGCCUUCGGGUUGUAAACUCCUUUCGCUAGGGACGAAGCUUUUUGUGACGGUACCUAGAUAAGAAGCACCGGCUAACUACGUG